UACACCUGUCAGUGUCAUUUUUUUUUGUCAUUGUGAUUAUUUUUCGAAAUUUGCAGUGUAGUUACCAAAGCAGUAAACUAUGAACACGAGCGAUGUAAUUUCACUUAUGCAAAUGACUGUCGUAUUUGUUUUAAUUUGUGCUGGUUUUAGAAGAAUGAGAUAUAAAAAAUAAUUUAUAAACGUUAUGGUAGAAGAAUGUAAAACUUCUGAUAGCUUCAUUGAUAAAAAUCAAGAAAACAUUUAUAUAAUAUGUUAAACUUGGCCUUGGCAGCGAUGUUACAUGCAUUUCUAUGUGCACGAAAAAUACGGAAGAAUACCACUAUUACUUAAUUGUAAAAUGAAGUUUGUUUAAUCCUAUAUUAAUAUUUGCACUAACAUUUAAAAUUAUGAAAUAAAUAAAUUUUUUGUA